UACGAAGGGGGGCUAGCGUUGCUCGGAAUCACUGGGCGUAAAGCGCACGUAGGCGGAUUGCUAAGUCAGGGGUGAAAUCCUGGAGCUCAACUCCAGAACUGCCUUUGAUACUGGCGAUCUCGAGUCCGGGGAGAGGUGAGUGGAACUUGCGAAGUGUAGAGGUGAAAUUCGUAGAUAUUCGCAAGAACACCAGUGGCGAAGGCGGCUCACUGGCCCGGUACUGACGCUGAGGUGCGAAAAGCGUGGGGGAGCAAACAGG
rnacentral:rRNA from 1 species